rnacentral:rRNA from 1 species
UCACUUUCAACAACGGAUCUCUUGGUUCUCGCAUCGAUGAAGAACGUAGCGAAGUGCGAUAUGUAAUGUGAAUUGCAGAAUUCCGUGAAUCAUCGAAUUUUUGAACGCAAAUUGCACUCUCUUCGGAGAGUAUGCCUGUUUGAGGGUCAGCCUAAA